AACUAAAUGGCCGACAAAGGCAUAGAAUUUUUAAUUCUUGUAUGAACUUUUCUUUAGUU
rnacentral:tRNA from 1 species